rnacentral:rRNA from 1 species
GCCUAACACAUGCAAGUCGAGCGGUAACAGGACUAGCUUGCUAGUUGCUGACGAGCGGCGCACGGGUGCGUAACACGUGAGUAAUCUGCCUUGGAGCCCGGAAUAACUCCCCGAAAGGGGUGCUAAUGCCGGAUGAGCCCACGGGGUCUUCGGACCUUGAGGGAAAAGGUGGCCUCUGUAUACAAGCUAUCACUUCAGGAUGAGCUCGCGGCCCAUCAGCUAGUUGGCGGGGUAAUGGCCCACCAAGGCUACGACGGGUAGCUGGUCUGAGAGGACGAUCAGCCACACUGGAACUGAGACACGGUCCAGACUCCUACGGGAGGCAGCAGUGGGGAAUCUUGCGCAAUGGGCGAAAGCCUGACGCAGCAACGCCGCGUGUGUGAUGAAGGUCUUCGGAUCGUAAAGCACUGUCGCGAGGGACGAAUAAGGGUCGGGUGAACAAUCCGGUCCGAUGACGGUACCUCGAGAGGAAGCACCGGCUAACUCUGUGCCAGCAGCCGCGGUAAUACAGAGGGUGCAAGCGUUGUUCGGAAUUAUUGGGCGUAAAGCGCGUGUAGGCGGCCACGCAAGUUGGGUGUGAAAGCCCUCGGCUUAACCGAGGAAGUGCGCCCAAAACUACAAGGCUUGAGUACCGGAGAGGGUGGCGGAAUUCCCGGUGUAGAGGUGAAAUUCGUAGAUAUCGGGAGGAACACCAGUGGCGAAGGCGGCCACCUGGACGGAUACUGACGCUGAGACGCGAAAGCGUGGGUA